UACAGAGGGUGCGAGCGUUGUCCGGAAUCACUGGGCGUAAAGGGCGCGUAGGUGGCGGCCCAAGUCCAUGGUGAAAGCUCGAUGCUCAACAUCGAGUCGGCCACGGAUACUGGGUUGCUCGAGCACUGUAGGGGCAGAUGGAAUUCCGGGUGUAGCGGUGGAAUGCGUAGAGAUCCGGAAGAACACCGGUGGCGAAGGCGGGUCUCUGGGCAGUAACUGACGCUGAGGAGCGAAAGCGUGGGGAGCGAACAGG
rnacentral:rRNA from 1 species